rnacentral:rRNA from 1 species
GUGAGGAAUCUUGCGCAAUGGGUGAAAACCUGACGCAGCGACACCGCGUGGGGGACGAAGGCUUUCGGGUUGUAAACCCCUUUUGGGAGGGAAGAAAGUUUAUCCGUGAAUAGCGGGUAGAUGUGACGGUACCUCCAGAAAAAGCCACGGCUAACUCUGUGCCAGCAGCCGCGGUAAGACAGAGGUGGCAAGCGUUGUUCGGAAUUAUUGGGCGUAAAGCGCGCGUAGGCGGUUGGGUCAGUCCCAUGUGAAAUCCCCCUGCUCAACAGGGGAACGUCGUGGGUGACUGCCCGGCUAGAGGAUGGGAGAGGAGAGCGGAAUUCCCGGUGGAGCGGUGAAAUGCGUUGAUAUCGGGAGGAAGGCCGGUGGCGAAGGCGGCUCUCUGGAACAUUCCUGACGCUGAGGUGCGAAAGCGUGGGUAGCAAACAGG